GACGAACGCUGGCGGCGUGCCUAAUACAUGCAAGUAGAACGCUGAAGAGAGGAGCUUGCUCUUCUUGGGUGAGUUGCGAACGGGUGAGUAACGCGUAGGUAACCUGCCUUGUAGCGGGGGAUAACUAUUGGAAACGAUAGCUAAUACCGCAUAACAAUGGAUGACACAUGUCAUUUAUUUGAAAGGGGCAAUUGCUCCACUACAAGACGGACCUGCGUUGUAUUAGCUAGUAGGUGAGGUAACGGCUCACCUAGGCGACGAUACAUAGCCGACCUGAGAGGGUGAUCGGCCACACUGGGACUGAGACACGGCCCAGACUCCUACGGGAGGCAGCAGUAGGGAAUCUUCGGCAAUGGGGGCAACCCUGACCGAGCAACGCCGCGUGAGUGAAGAAGGUUUUCGGAUCGUAAAGCUCUGUUGUAAGUCAAGAACGAGUGUGAGAGUGGAAAGUUCACACUGUGACGGUAGCUUACCAGAAAGGGACGGCUAACUACGUGCCAGCAGCCGCGGUAAUACGUAGGUCCCGAGCGUUGUCCGGAUUUAUUGGGCGUAAAGCGAGCGCAGGCGGUUUGAUAAGUCUGAAGUUAAAGGCUGUGGCUCAACCAUAGUUCGCUUUGGAAACUGUCAAACUUGAGUGCAGAAGGGGAGAGUGGAAUUCCAUGUGUAGCGGUGAAAUGCGUAGAUAUAUGGAGGAACACCGGUGGCGAAAGCGGCUCUCUGGUCUGUAACUGACGCUGAGGCUCGAAAGCGUGGGGAGCGAACAGGAUUAGAUACCCUGGUAGUCCACGCCGUAAACGAUGAGUGCUAGGUGUUGGAUCCUUUCCGGGAUUCAGUGCCGCAGCUAACGCAUUAAGCACUCCGCCUGGGGAGUACGACCGCAAGGUUGAAACUCAAAGGAAUUGACGGGGGCCCGCACAAGCGGUGGAGCAUGUGGUUUAAUUCGAAGCAACGCGAAGAACCUUACCAGGUCUUGACAUCCCGAUGCUAUUUCUAGAGAUAGAAAGUUACUUCGGUACAUCGGUGACAGGUGGUGCAUGGUUGUCGUCAGCUCGUGUCGCGAGAUGUUGGGUUAAGUCCCGCAACGAGCGCAACCCCUAUUGUUAGUUGCCAUCAUUCAGUUGGGCACUCUAGCGAGACUGCCGGUAAUAAACCGGAGGAAGGUGGGGAUGACGUCAAAUCAUCAUGCCCCUUAUGACCUGGGCUACACACGUGCUACAAUGGUUGGUACAACGAGUUGCGAGUCGGUGACGGCAAGCUAAUCUCUUAAAGCCAAUCUCAGUUCGGAUUGUAGGCUGCAACUCGCCUACAUGAAGUCGGAAUCGCUAGUAAUCGCGGAUCAGCACGCCGCGGUGAAUACGUUCCCGGGCCU
rnacentral:rRNA from 1 species